GCCGAACGCUGGCGGCGUGCCUAAUACAUGCAAGUCGAACGCAGUGGGGACGGGUGAGUAACACGUGGGUAACCUCCCCUCAGAGGGGAUAACACUUGGAAACAGGUGCUAAACCGCUACUGAUGUAUGAACCCGCGGUGCAUUAGCUAGUUGGAGAGGUAACGGCUAACCAAGGCCACGAUGCAUAGCCGAGCUGGUAGCGUGAGCGGCCAAACUGGCACUGAGAAACGGCCCAGCGUCAUACGGGACGCAGCAGGAGGGAAUAUUCGGCAAUGGACGAAAGGCUGACCGAGCAAAGCCGCGUGAGUGAAGAAGGUUUUCGGAUCGUAAAACUCUGUUGUUAGAGAAGCGGAAGCUAACCAGAAAGCCACGGCUAACUACGUGCCAGCAGCCGCGGUAAUAC
rnacentral:rRNA from 1 species